CGCCUCACCACAACCAUGAAGUACCUGGGUCUGCUCCUCCUGGUCAGUCUGAUAUCAGUGGCCAUGUCAGGACACAACGAUUAUGGUCAAGGAUACGGUGAUUAUGAUAAAGGAUACGGUGAUUACGAUAAAGG